CCAAUAGCGUAUAUUAAAGUUGUUGCAGUUAAAAAGCUCGUAGUUGAAUUUCGGGAUCAAUUAGUCGGUCGUGCCUCUGGUACGUACUGGUUUUAUUGGUUCCUCCCUUCUGACGAAACAUGAUGUCAUUAAUUUGGUGUCUUGGGGAAUCAGGACCGUUACUUUGAAAAAAUUAGAGUGUUUAAAGCAGGCUCGCGCUUGAAUACAUUAGCAUGGAAUAAUGAAAUAGGACGUUUGAUUCUAUUUUGUUGGUUUCUAGGAUCGACGUAAUGAUUAAUAGGGAUAGUUGGGGGCAUUAGUAUUCAAUUGUCAGAGGUGAAAUUCUUGGAUUUAUUGAAGACUGACUACUGCGAAAGCAUUUGCCAAGGAUGUUUUCAUUAAUCAAGAACGAAAGUUAGGGGAUCGAAGACGAUCAGAUACCGUCGUAGUCUUAACCAUAAACUAUGCCGACUAGGGAUCGGAUGAUGUUAAUUUUUUAAUGACUCAUUCGGCGCCUUACG
rnacentral:rRNA from 1 species